rnacentral:lncRNA from 1 species
UUACGGAUUGCGUCGAUUGUAGCCAAGGAUAUCUGUGGAAAGCUGGUGCCGAAAGCUAGGAGGGCGAUGUCCGCAAUCGUGUAGUUCCACACCUUCUCUUGCUUGACAACGGGGGCGUUCGUGUGCGGGUCUACGCUGACCACCUCCCGGGAGUGCUUCAUGAUCUGCUCCAUGGAUUUGAAGAACCGAGCGGUGAUCGCGGACAGGCCGAUGAAGCAGUAUGCAAGCGCAACGGUGUAGAGGGAGGCGCGGACGCCGCCGGAGAGCAGGGUCUCGCCAUGGAACAGCAGGUAGGUGCCCUCACAUGCAGAUGAUGGGCCUGACAUCAGGAAGACCGAUGCAGCCCCAAGACCGGAGCUUGAGAAAAUAUUCUCCUAGCUAGCUGCUACUCCCUGCUGCAACACAAACAAAAGGCAAAAUUGCCAAGAAAAUUGCGAACUGAUGAGCAUGAGCAGUACAAGUGGCAUAAGGGUCAUGGGGAAAUCUGCAGAUUCAGAGGACUGAAGGACAUUGGGGUGUCAGGAGGGAGGAACGCACCAGUGGUUGAAUCGACGACCGGAUCCCCCACGAACCACGGCGGCGCACGCAACCAGGCCGCCGGCGUGCGUGGUUGCCUUUCGUUUCCUCCGCGCGGCGGCGCCGCCGCCCCCGCUGCUCUGCUCUCCUCUCCUCUCCGCCCCGCCGCACAGACUCUGCUGCGGAUUGGGGAGGAAAACCCAAAGGGGUGGGGGAAGGAAUUGAGGAGGAGCUCGCCCAAGACUGCGGAUCGAGGCCGUGACCGAAUCGGUUGGCAACCGGGGGGAGAAAAAAAUUGCAUUUUUAUACACACGGCAGAGAUCCUCCCUCCCUCCCUCCCCCACGUCCUCCAUGGGGGCGCGGAAAAGAAACCCACCCGCCAACGAAACAGCAGGCCCCACAUGAGCCAUCGCAGCCACGCGUUGAACGACAGCUCAGCGUGUGACGCGCGAGCAGGGUACAGCCACACACACACAGUGAUUGCAGCAGCCACGCAUUGAGGAGGAAGGAGGAGGAUGCAUGGCGCCGGUCAGUCCGCGCACAGUACCUGUCGAGGUCAGCCGACCGCCAUCUGAAUUUUACGUCCACAUGUUCCACGUGUACGUUUAUUUUAUUUAUUUUAUUUAUUUAUUUAUUACUAAUGGGCUAGAAAUACGCUUUGUUUCGAAGGAAAAAAAAGAAUAGGAAUACACUGGACUAGUUACAUGGCAGCUACUCCUACCAAGCAUUCUCAUUCUGAACUAGUAGCAGCUACGUGGCUCAUUUUAGUACGCAAUGCAAGUCGUUCUUAUCUGCGGCUCGAAAUUGAAUGUAUGCUCCCAGCAGGAAGUAUCCCAACCGUCCAUUUUUCCUCUGUAGAUCGGCGCCGCACUCUCUCUAUGAUUGGCUCCACCGACGGUUGGUUUGGUCGCCGUGGCCGGAGGAAUCGGCGGCAGUCAACUCGGCGCCGAGAAGGUCGGAUCUUGGAUCUGCAGCGUGGCAGGCGCGUGACGGCGGCCGCAGCAGCGCCUCCCGCGCGAGACCGACCGAACAAAGAACAGCCACUGCAGCACCUGUGUUCGACAGAGGAGGCUGAUCGACUGCCCCCUUGCUUGUUUGCGUCGCCGGGAAGGUCGGAUCUGGAUCUGCAGUUUAGUUCAGUCUUGAUUCAGUUGAAUGCUCACGUCUAUUUCUACGCUUUUGUUUGCAAUCCAUGUUUACCCAUUUGCUUGCAAUGUAUGGAUUCAGUCAGCGACUUUACAAGCAUGGAUCCAGCCAGUUGUUUUGCAAUAUGGAUUCCUCAGUCAGAUCAAUUAACUCACAUCGCUCCAGCUUGUUAAGUAGGUUGUUUUUUUUUCAGUAUGCUAGGGUAGGUUUCAUAAUUGUAUCCCUUGCUUUUUACUUAAUCAUCAUGGAAUUUAGUGUCGUGAUGGAGGAUGCGACCAGAAAAGGGUGAAUGGGAACGUUUAAAAUUCUCUCCAAGAAGGUCUAUAUCCCCAUUACCACCCCCAUCACACCUCGUUUAUAAUCGCCAAGAUGACACACGUCAACUCGUGAUAAAUUCAUCCUAGGAAUGACAAAACGCAGUGGAAGCAAACGGAAAAUGAGACUCUAAAAAGCUUGCACAAGAGAUUAAGCAAAGCUACUACUAAACGAUUAAUUAACUAACCAAAGAUUAGUAGCAGCAAGCACUAGAGUUUGUAAAGAUACAGAACUCGAAUGCAUCAUUAUUCACUUAGAGAGGCAAGUACAGUACAAGCUUGUACAAGAUUAACAAAUUAACAAUUGCUAUGCAACAUUGAUCCCUGUAGCAGGAAAGUGACAGUUCAUGGAAAAUGAUUCUUCUCUGAAUUUAAAUAGACAAAAGCCUCGCUGCUUCUCUGCUUACCUGCUCAGAAGUGCCGAGCUUGAGCUGCAGGAGACCGUUGGAAUGAGCUGCGCUGCUUGGGCCGCUGCUGGCUCCGCAGGCCGCGUCAACGAGACGCUGGACCGGCAGCUGGCGUGCAGCGAGCUGGGCCUGCCGAGCGAGCCGGGCCGCCUCCCAGCCUGGUGCGUCGCUGGCCUGGACCAAAGAAGCCGCACGCCUGGGCAGCUGGGCUGCUAGUGCUGCAGCUGCCUGCGUGCAAGGCACGUGCCGGCAGGGUCGCAGCCACCCGCGUGCCAGGCGCGUGACGGCCGCAGCAGCGCCUCGCUGCUUACCCCGCGCGAGAUUGUCAACUGCCCCCUUUGCCUGCGCAAGAACAGAGGAAGGGAAACAAGAGCGCGAAGAACACGUCCAACUUCAACCCAAAAAUACUCCCUCGAUACUACGCGGAUUCAAACGAAACUUGAGUCAGCGUGAGCAGAUCCAAAGAAAAAUAUCUCGAAAAGCUCAAAUAUUCAUCACGGAUUUUAAACAAAACCGAAUGCCCCUUCACAAACCUCAAUUUGUAGAAAACUUCAAAUUCACGCCGAAUCUGUGAGGGAUUUGAGUAGGCAUCGUAUCAAAGUUGCUCAACAAGUAUUCUAGCAACAAAAGCCUCCAACGAAUCUUACCGGAUUCGCAGCCAAAUAGAAGAGCGAAAAAUCCCAAAAAUACCUUCAGGAAAACACAGAAAUUUAGGAAUCUCAGAUCUUGAGAGGAUGGAACAACUGAACAUGAAUUUGAUCUUUGAAUUACUCCACCAUAUUCGGUUACAAACCACUCCUAACCUACUCAGAGCGUUAGAUGGCAAAAAGAUCACAUCAAAGAUCCGUCAUCUCUCUUGCUCUCUCACCUACCAAACCCAAUAACCACUCCUCAUAUAUAUAUAUAUAUAUAUAUAUAUAUAUAUACAUAUAUAUAUAUAUAUAUAUAUAUUUGUGUGUAUGUGUGUGUGUGUGUGUGUGUGUGUGUGUGUGUGUGUGUGUGUUGCAUUUGGCAAAUGUUAAAAUACUACUCCCUCCGUUCCAAAUUAUAAGUCAUUCCAACUUUCUUGGAGAGUCAAACCAUUUUAUGUUUGACCAAAAUUAUAGAGAAAAUCACAAAAGUUUAUGGCACCGAAUAGAUAUACUAUGAAAAUAUAUUUAACGAAGAAACUAAUGGUACCUAUUUGAUAUCAUGAAUGUUAGCACUUUAUUGUAAAAAUUUGGUCAAACUUGAGAUGCUUUAACUCUCCAAGAAAGUUGGAAUGACUUAUAAUUUGGAACGGAGGGAGUAUUACAUAAAACAUACAACACAAAUACUUCAUAUGGGUAAAACCGUCUAACUUUUUGUCGGUACAUCGAACGGACCUAACGCCUUCACGACUUCGCUUCACCUCGACGCAACAUUCGUGAUGGUGCCACCCAUCCUUCAACUUGACGCCGUCCGGUCGGCCAGGCUUGCCCCCCGGUUUUGAGGUCAAACCGGUCAAACCCUCUUGCACACCCCGCAAGGCGUGACUCACCAAUGUCGGUGUGUGUCCGGCCUCCGCCAAGCCUUUGAUGCCUCCAAGUCUUUCGCUCCCGCUCCCAGGCCACCUACUCGACUUGCCUCCAUCGCGCUUGACUCGGCCGAUGCCUUCUCCAUCCCGUCCAUAUACUCUUGCUCUUCCGUGCAACAUGUGGAUCGCUCAUGACUCCAUUCGGAUUCCUCACGUCCCUUGAUUCAAACCUACUCGUGUUCACCCUUCAUAGCCUUAGUACAUUCACAGCCCUAGUACAUCGGCAUGAACUUUUCGCUUGACCUUUACCUUAUAAUAAAAAAAAUUAAAGGUUAGAUAUGCGCUUUUGGAAACUGUGUCAAUGUCCAAAACAUUGCCUAUUUGAAACCGGAGGCAGUAUAAAUAUGGCAUACCUCUAAGAUAACAUACAGCCAAAUGUAUGCCCAGAAAGACCAGAACAGCUCAACUAGCCAAACGCCCAAGUCUGUGAUCUUUUUCUUAGAGCCCGCCUUUGGCAUAACCACACAGACAGCAUGGAUUGGGAACAUAUCAAAUGCAGCAGAACCCACGAGAGUGCCCGGACCUAGAUCAGCUGGCCAAGAUUACGGAUUGCGUCGAUUGUAGCCAAGGAUAUCUGUGGAAAGCUGGUGCCGAAGGCAAGGAGGGCAAUGUCCGCUAUCGUGUAGUUCCACACCUUCUCUUGCUUGACAACAGGGGCGUUCGUGUGCGGGUCUAUGGUGACCACCUCCCGGGAGUGUUUCAUGAUCUGCUCCAUGGAUUCGAAGAACCGAGCAGUGAUCGCGGAUAGCCCAAUGAAGCAGUAUGCAAGAGCAACGGUGUAGAGGGAGGCGCGGACGCCACUGGAGAGCAGGGUCUCGCCAUGGAACAGCAGGUAGGUGCCCUCACAUGCGGAUGGAGGAUCGGCACUGCCCAUCACAGUGCCUGACAUCAGGAAGACUGAUGCAGCCCCAAGAGUAGAGCUUGAGAAAAUAUUCCUAGCUAGCUGCUAGUCCCUGUUGCAACACAAAAGGCAAAAUUGCCAAGAAAACUGUGAACUGAUGAGCAGUACAAGUGGCAUAGAGGUCAUGGGGAAAUCUGCAGAUUCUCAGUGGAAGGACAUUGGGGGGGGGGGGGGGGGGGGGGGG